rnacentral:rRNA from 1 species
CAAAUGAAUUGACGGGGGCCCGCACAAGCGGUGGAGCAUGUGGUUUAAUUCGAUGCAACGCGAAGAACCUUACCUACUCUUGACAUCCAGAGAACUUUCCAGAGAUGGAUUGGUGCCUUCGGGAACUCUGAGACAGGUGCUGCAUGGCUGUCGUCAGCUCGUGUUGUGAAAUGUUGGGUUAAGUCCCGCAACGAGCGCAACCCUUAUCCUUUGUUGCCAGCGGUUCGGCCGGGAACUCAAAGGAGACUGCCAGUGAUAAACUGGAGGAAGGUGGGGAUGA